rnacentral:rRNA from 1 species
AGAAUCAACGCUGGCGGCGUGCCUAACACAUGCAAGUCGCACGUAGAAAGGGACUUCGGUCCUGAGUACAGUGGCGCACGGGUGAGUAACACGUGAAUAAUCUACCUUCGAGUGGGGAAUAACUGAGAGAAAUCUUAGCUAAUACCGCAUAACACUUACGAGUCAAAGCAGCAAUGCGCUUGAAGAGGAGUUCGCGGCAGAUUAGUUAGUUGGCGGGGUAAUGGCCCACCAAGACGAUGAUCUGUA